CCUACGGGUGACAGCAGUGAGGAAUAGUGGUCAAUGGGCGCUAGCCUGAACCAGCCAAGUAGCGUGAAGGAUGACGGCCCUAUGGGUGGUAAACUGCUGUUAUAGGGGAAUAAAGUGCAGUAGGUAUACGGCUUUGCAUGUACCUUAUGAAUAAGGAUCGGCUAACUCCGUGCCAGCAGCCGCGGUAAUACGGAGGAUCCGAGCGUUAUCCGGAUUUAUUGGGUUUAAAGGGAGCGUAGGCGGGUUGUUAAGUCAGUUGUGAAAGUUUGCGGCUCAACCGUAAAAUUGCAGUUGAUACUGGCAUCCUUGCGUACAGUAGAGGUAGGCGGAAUUCGUGUUGUAGCGGU
rnacentral:rRNA from 1 species